UACAGAGGGUGCGAGCGUUAAUCGGAAUUACUGGGCGUAAAGCGUGCGUAGACGGUUAUGUAAGUCGGGUGUGAAAGCCCCGGGCUCAACCUGGGAAUUGCAUUCGAGACUGCAUAGCUAAGAUGCGGAAGAGGGAAGCGGAAUUUCCGGUGUAGCGGUGAAAUGCGUAGAUAGUCGGAAGGAACAUCAGUGGCGAAAGCGGCUUCCUGGUCCAGCAUCGACGUCAGGCACGAAAGCGUGGGGAGCAAACAGG
rnacentral:rRNA from 1 species